rnacentral:rRNA from 1 species
AUGGUGCUUAGAAAUAUCAGAGACAUGUUGCACUCAAUGGGAAAAGACAUAAAAUCAUUUCCUCUUCCAGAGAUCGAGAAACAACAUGAGACGGCAGACGACGUACCUAGGGAGAUCAUCGAGGAGACCUCAAUCGAGGUGGACCCGGAGGACGCAACUUUACAUAGAAACCUAAACAACGAGCAGAGAAAGGCCUAUGAUGAAAUCUUACACGCAAUUGACCGCCAAAGAGGAGGCUUAUUCUUUGUCGAUGGACCGGGAGGCACAGGAAAAACUUUUCUUUACAGGGCACUCUUGGCCACAAUACGCGGACAAGGCAAGAUUGCUGUGGCGACGGCCACUUCCGGUGUUGCUGCUUCCAUAAUGCCCGGAGGGAGGACCGCACACUCGAGGUUCAAGAUUCCACUA